GAUGAACGCUGGCGGCGUGCUUAACACAUGCAAGUCGAACGGGAUCCCAGGGGUGCUUGCACUUUUUGGUGAGAGUGGCGAACGGGUGAGUAACACGUGUGUAACCUCUCCUUUUCUUUGGGAUAAGCAUUCGAAAGGGUGUUUAAUACCUUAUGUUCUUUCUGCCUCGCAUGGGGUGGGUGGGAAAGGCUUUGGCCUCAUUUGGGUGGGCUGGCGGUCUAUCAGCUUGUUGGUGGGGUGAUGGCUUUCCAAGGCUUUGACGGGUAGCCGGCCUGAGAGGGUAGUGGGUCAGAAUGAGACUGAGAGACGGGCCAGACGCCUGCGGGAGGCAGCAGUGGGGGAUGUUGCAAAAUGGGCGAAAGAAAGAUGCAGGGAGGAAGCGAGGGGGAUGAAGGGAAACGGGUUGUAAACUGGUUUUACUGUGAGCGAGGGAUGACAGUGGGUGUGUGAAGGGAAGGGGUGAAUUAGCGACGGCUAACUACGUG
rnacentral:rRNA from 1 species